AUUAUCAUUGCUAAAUUGAUAUUGUAUUCUUUGUAAGUAAGUUUAUUGUUUCUUUGUCAUUAUAAACGCAAAUAGCGUUCAGCAUCAUCGAUCUUUCACGUGACCUCUGGCCUGGAUUUAAAAUUUUUGCCGGUAUUUUCGAGUGCAUGGCGGCACGGAUUCAUUCGUUCGUGCGCUCAGGCUGGUUGCUUCUUUUUCGCUAAAACUAGUUUAUUGCGCUUCGAUGUCACGCGUUAUUUAACCUGGGGUGAAGUGACGUGUUUGCAAGCGGACAUGCAAGCCCGAAAGUUGGGUAUCGGUCGUGAGCCAUUCGGAACACGUCUGCAUCGAAACGGGAGCUGGAUUCUGGUGCGGCUGACAACGGCAAUAACGACAUGCAGUAAUGAGGAUGGCACCAGUAUAAAGCAACACACUCCACACACUAAACAGAAGCUGCUGCCUGCUACAACAAGGCCAUUGUGUGGACAUUGGCUGCUACUACAAGAGUCCAUGCCAAGCAUACCUUGGUCAUCACAGGAGCUCCUAUCCACACCAACAGAAAGGGGCUGGAGCUGAAUUUGCAAGGCUUUUACACCACGAACAAAGAAGCGCAUGCAGAAGAAUUUACAUGAGAUAUCAAGUCUGCAGAGCACUGUGUCAAGACUGAAAAGAGCUUCAGCCACCAUUCCACCAGCGCGGACAAAUUGGCUGAGUCAUCCAGGUAACUCAAAAAGGACUUUAUGGAAAUUCUUCGUCUCCAGAUGUGCCUGCAACGUCUGAUCAAGCACGGACGAAGCUGGCCAAAAGAGUUCCAUCAGUUUGCCCUUAAUCAGCUUCCUGGCCAUGUCAAUUCCAUUUGUGCCAAGUGUAAUUUUUCUUCUAUAAAUGCAAGCUUUUUCAUUGUCCAUUCUUGUUAGAGAUCAUUCAUCCUCAUCCAAACAUAAAGGUCAACCGAUUCUUCGCUGAUACUUAAUACCAGUCACUGUCUAGUAGCAUAACAUAUUUGUAGCAGUACCUUUUAAUGCAUGUUGUCAUGCACAAUUCCUCUCCUGAAAUAGCUGAUGCAACAUCGACAUGUUUCUUGCAUUAACCUACGCACUGUUUGCUAUGCACCAUUUUACUUUUCUUGAUGUUUUUGGCCUUCAGUGCUUGCAGAGCAGGGUGGCUUCUCUCUUGAAUGCAAGCUUUCUCAUUUUCCAUAUUCCUAGUCUCGUUGAUGGUUGCUCUUCUUCCUCGAUAGCCUGGGUCUUUGCGCAAGCUACACUGAAUGAUAGAUUGCAGAAUCUGGUUUUGCUGCCCCACUUGGUUGUGGUCGCCGUGUUCAUUUCUCGGAUGUGGGGGCCUGCUCAGUUACAUUGGUAAGCAGUCUCUCGAGGUAAACAUUUGCUCCUGCAGUCCGCACAGCGGCAUAGACUCCCAAUUUACACACCAUGAUUCGUGCUCCCCGUUCAGCCUUUCCUGCUGCAGCCAUGUGCAAAUUGUGCCUGCGGCCUUUCUCAGUCGCAAUUAAGCACGAACGGAGACAAGCAUACGUGCUUACAUGGUCCAACGUGUUUGAAGUUCAUAGCCACAUGGGUGGAAAGGCCCGCAUAAAUGGCUGCCGAAGGUGAUGCCCACGAAAGCGACUUGUCCAUAUUGAGACAAAGUGGGACGCCAAAUGUGAGCCACACAUUAGUGGCCCUCGACAGAAAAGAAACAUGCAGGUUGAAAGGAGUUAACGCUAAAAUGCCGGAUAGUCCAUUUCGCUGUGUUGGUUGUGGCAGCAGAUGCCUGCAUCACCUGAUUUCUUCGCAAUGGAAGUUGCUCAUCUUCAACGGCAACUGUCGGUUCAAACAGGUGCGACGCUCUGUCCAAUCUGUUUGUACUGCUGUUUGCCGCUCGUUACCAGACCACCACAUGCGACGAAGGCAAGCAUUAUGCCUGUAAGUAGGCGGCUGAAUGUAUCCUAAGAGACCCGUGUAUGUGAAUGCUCACUGUUGCCAUAUGGUUUGUAGC